rnacentral:rRNA from 1 species
AUUGAACGCUGGCGGCAGGCCUAACACAUGCAAGUCGAGCGGAUGAAGGGAGCUUGCUCCUGGAUUCAGCGGCGGACGGGUGAGUAAUGCCUAGGAAUCUGCCUGGUAGUGGGGGAUAACGUCCGGAAACGGGCGCUAAUACCGCAUACGUCCUGAGGGAGAAAGUGGGGGAUCUUCGGACCUCACGCUAUCAGAUGAGCCUAGGUCGGAUUAGCUAGUUGGUGGGAUAAAGGCCUACCAAGGCGACGAUCCGUAACUGGUCUGAGAGGAUGAUCAGUCACACUGGAACUGCGACACGGUCCAGACUCCUACGGGAGGCAGCAGUGGGGAAUAUUGGACAAUGGGCGAAAGCCUGAUCCAGCCAUGCCGCGUGUGUGAAGAAGGUCUUCGGAUUGUAAAGCACUUUAAGUUGGGAGGAAGGGCAGUAAGUUAAUACCUUGCUGUUUUGACGUUACCAACAGAAUAAGCACCGGCUAACUUCGUG